UUUCUUCUCCUCCUUCUUUCGGUUGUCUCCUUUAUGGUUGAAUUCUAAGAUAAAUGGGCCUAUCAUGUAAAUAAAUCAUGCCCAUAAGCAGCAGAACUCUGAAGCUAUUGUACAGGGGGAUGUUGACUUUUGGUGAAAAAGAGGAGGUCAAAAACAGUGGGUGUCAUUUUCUAUGUGGCACUCAAAGUAUUCAACGUAAGCUUGAGGAUCCUAGGGUGAAAAAUUGUAAAAGGAGACAAAGAUGAUUUUUGCCCAAGACUUGCACAUUCAUCAGCUCUCGAUUGUGCACAUAAAAAUCCCAACACCUAAAAAAAUGGAGGGGGAACGUCAGAGGACCCAGAGCAGGAAAGUAAGCUUGGACGGAAAGAACAGGUGACUGCUGAUGUCUUGACAGUGCCUCUGUUCACUCAACUCCAGGAUGGAAUGGUCCAUCCAAAAUUCAAGAGAGAAUGAAAGCCAGGUGUGAUAGCCCAUAGAAGGUGGUGGCUACUAAAAUAGAUUUCUUUUGUUUGGUUUUGUGAAUCCAACUGACCUCUGUCUCUUGUCAUUCCCAAGGCACACAGAGCACAUUCCUGCCCCAUUGUUUUUUAGGUAAACAUUAAACAGUAUUGCACAUGGAAAGAAGCCGAAGUGUUUGAUAAUUCAUCAGCAGUGGCAAACCUGAGUGUUUCUGCACAAUGCAAAUUGCUUUGGCUUCCACACGGCUCCUGUCUCUUCAAGUGCGAUGAGUAGGGGAGGGAGGUGGCCACUGAAGAGCCUGAGUCAAAUCAAUCUCCUCACCUGAGGACUUCCUCAGACCAGCGCACUGAGGGAUCACUGACGGCAACAACAAUAGUGCUAAUGCUCCCUUAUGCCAAGUAUUCCAAUGGACAUUUAUGGAUGGAAAGGGGAAGUUUGCCUAUACAAGUACCUUCUGGACUCAGCUCGGCUAAGCAAAUCAUGCAUGAACUUUUGGAUGAGAGAGAGUUGGAGGGAGGGAGAUAGAAAGAUGAAGAAGUCAUCCUCCGAAAGGUUACCAUUUUGUAAAUGGGUUAUGAAAAUUGUGAUUUCCCACAAAUCACUGUGAGUUAGCAGACCUUGAUUUGAACUCCCUGCUCUAGCAUAACUGUGUGACUAUGCAAAAAUUAUUUCAAUUCCUUAAACUCAGCUUUCUUAUCUGUAAAAUGGAGUAAUCUAUUAGGGUAACAAACCCCAAAUUUCAAUAGCUUAAUACAAUCAGAAUUAAUUUCUCACUCACAUAAAAUUCAGUUCCUGGUUGGGUGGCUCUACCAGACAGCUUUCUACCCAGUAGUCUAUCUUAAACUGAGUCCCACAGUAAGAAGAGGAAAAGGUUUAUGUGGAAGUGCUUUGUU
rnacentral:lncRNA from 1 species